GCAAAUGAGCAGCACCAAGGUUACAAAUGUUGUUAACCAAGAAAACAAUCCUUGGGGUCUCCAAAUCGAUUCCCUUUUACGUUUCUCCUCCCCUUUCCACGGCUUCUUUAUCCACUGCUUAUGAACGUGCCGAAGUAUAUAUCCCUCUCCUCUCUUGAUACAAAUUUUGACUAUAUAUUAAUUGAAAGAGAAAUGCUUUGCAACAACAUAUUUAUAGAUAUAUUCUUUUGAACAUUUUUAUUAUAAGCUUGUGUAGAUUUUACUUCUUAUUUAAUUUGUAUUUUUCUCAUUUUAUAAUUUCAAACAAAUCUUCAAUAAACCAUAAAAAGUGUUUUAAAAUGAAUGUUUUGAAGUAUGUUAACACUUAUCAUUAACUCAAUAUACACAGUAACAUAUGUUAAGAAUUACUUUUUUUAACGUGUAAAUGAGUGUGAAUAUCAUAUGAUUAAUAUGAUAUAAAUUAUCAUGGGGAGUUGAAAAUUAAAUGUUGCAGGGUAGUAAUGCAGUGGCAAAAGGAAGUAGUGAAAAUGGGGCGAUGAAGAGGGAGGAUAUGGAUGAAGAGAAACAAGAA
rnacentral:lncRNA from 1 species